ACAGUGUAACCCAACACAUUGCGAACCGAAAUCAGGGCAGGGAGAGAGAGGGAGAGAGAGAGAGAGAGAGGAGCAUCUGAAAAUGGCGGCUAUGGUCGCGAACAGAGCAGCUUCGGGGGAGAGAACAGCCAGUCUCUGGAGGCUAUCGUUUAACUUCCUCAGAAAUUUGAGCACUUCUUCUUCUCCUCCCAAUGCUACUACUGCUUCUGCAACAAACCCUAUAGCUUCGUCGGAGGCGAAGAAGCCAAAGCGCAGGAAGAAGAAGAACUUGUUCGAGGUGGCUCAUUUUCUCCCCAACUGGGGAGUUGGAUACCACAUGUCCAAGACUCAUUGGACCAAUGUCUCUUAUGAGAUCACCAAGAUCAAUCUCUACAAGGAUGGUAGGCAUGGCAAAGCUUGGGGAAUUGCUUAUAAGGAUGCCAGAUAUGAAGAACUAGGGAAGAAACAAAUGUGAUUUGCGAAUUUCACUCUACCAAUAAAACACACGAGAAAGAUCAACUAUAAAGAAGGUUCACCAACUGCACCUCUCAAGAAAAUAAGUGGAGUUCACAAGCGUUGUUGGAGAUACAUUCCACACCCAAAGAUAACAGAAGAAAGCACCCCAAAACCAGAAGCUCAAGCAGCUUGAUGUCAUUUCUUUAGUCUUCUUCAAGUUCUAACUGGCCUCUCACAUUCUGACGUCUAUUCAUUUUGGUUGAAGGUUGAUGCUAUCAAGGCGCAGUCACUGGGAGAGUUUUGGUUAAUGAGUUAGUAUUCUUCAAGCAAUUCUUAGGUCUGGAUGAUUUGAAUUGAUGCUCAAUGAGCUAUGCGAUGAAACCCACUGAACUUCGAAUUUUUUUUUUUUU